UUGACGGGGAGCACCGCAACGGGAGGAGCGUGCGGUUCAAUUGGAUUCAACGCCGGACAACUCACCAGGAGCGACGGUUACAUGAAGGCCAGGCUGAUGACCUUGCCUGAUUUUCCGAGAGGUGGUGCAUGGCCGUCGUCAGUUCGUACCGUAAGGCGUUUCUCUUAAGUGAGAUAACGAACGAGACCCUCACCGCUAAUUGCUAGUGUUCUCUCCGGAGGGCACGCACAUUAACGGGACCGCUGUCGCUAGGACAGAGGAAGGAGAGGUCAACGGUAGGUCCGUAUGCCCCGAAUCUCCUGGGCUACACGCGCGCUACAAAGGUUGGGACAAUGGGCUCCGACAUCGAAAGGUGAAGGCAAUCUCGAAACCCAAUCGUAGUUCGGAUUGAGGGUUGUAACUCACCCUCAUGAAGCUGGAUUCCGUAGUAAUCGCUUGUCAACAUCAAGCGGUGAAUAUGCCCUGCUCCUU
rnacentral:rRNA from 1 species